UACGAAGGGGGCUAGCGUUGCUCGGAAUCACUGGGCGUAAAGGGUGCGUAGGCGGGUCUUUAAGUCAGGGGUGAAAUCCUGGAGCUCAACUCCAGAACUGCCUUUGAUACUGAAGAUCUUGAGUUCGGGAGAGGUGAGUGGAACUGCGAGUGUAGAGGUGAAAUUCGUAGAUAUUGGGAAGAACACCGGCGGCGAAGGCGGCUCUCUGGACCGAUACUGACGCUGAGGCGCGAAAGCGUGGGGAGCAAACAGG
rnacentral:rRNA from 1 species